rnacentral:rRNA from 1 species
UACGAAGGGGGCUAGCGUUGCUCGGAAUUACUGGGCGUAAAGGGCGCGUAGGCGGCCUUCUAAGUCGAACGUGAAAUCCCCGGGCUCAACCCGGGAACUGCGUCCGAUACUGGAAGGCUUGAAUCCGGGAGAGGGAUGCGGAAUUCCAGGUGUAGCGGUGAAAUGCGUAGAUAUCUGGAAGGAACACCGGUGGCGAAGGCGGCAUCCUGGACCGGCAUUGACGCGUGAGCGCGAAAGCCAGGGAGCAA